GAUGAACGCUGGCGGCGUGCUUAACACAUGCAAGUCGAACGGAAAGGCUCCUGCUUGCAGGGGUACUCGAGUGGCGAACGGGUGAGUAACACGUGGGUGAUCUGCCCUGCACUUCGGGAUAAGCCUGGGAAACUGGGUCUAAUACCGGAUAGGACGAUGGUUUGGAUGCCAUUGUGGAAAGUUUUUUCGGUGUGGGAUGAGCUCGCGGCCUAUCAGCUUGUUGGUGGGGUAAUGGCCUACCAAGGCGUCGACGUGUAGCCGGCCUGAGAGGGUGUACGGCCACAUUGGGACUGAGAUACGGCCCAGACUCCUACGGGAGGCAGCAGUGGGGAAUAUUGCACAAUGGGCGCAAGCCUGAUGCAGCGACGCCGCGUGGGGGAUGACGGCCUUCGGGUUGUAAACUCCUUUCGCUAGGGACGAAGCGCAAGUGACGGUACCUGGAGAAGAAGCACCGGCUAACUACGUG
rnacentral:rRNA from 1 species